GGGAUAAUGGGGUGGGAAGUUGGAGAAAAUGACCUCCGAGAUAAUUUCCAGCUGUCAUCUUCAAUGUCAGAGUCUGUAGGUGAGAGAGGUGGGGGGAAGUGGACCCUUGGACCAACACCAGCACAGCUUUUGAGAUGGUUUCUGACGGGCAAAUGCAGCCCUGUGGGUACAGAGUGUGAACUCAGCCGUCCUGUGUCUAGCAGGGUCCUGACAGAAGGCUGACCUCCCAGAACCAGAAGUGAAGGAAGAGGUGGAAGUAGAGCUGCAGGAAUGUGAUUUGUACGGUUAGAACUUGCUCGUCUCCCAUUUGAGUUGGGACGGCAGUUGAUGGGUGGCCUGGCAGUAGUGCAGUGGUGACCUGGGAAGUCAGGGAAUCCCUCGCAUCUGCCCUUCCUGGAAAAUAAGCUAAGCGCAAAACAUUCCCCGCCUUUGGAAUUCUAGGUGGCCAGAAGAAGGCAGAUUCUGGGGAGAUCCAGCUGCAUCUGCUCCAAGGCAGCUUACUCCAGACAGUACAUUCCCUCUGUGGUGGUUUCUUUGGGGCCUACCUGGCUCCUGGUGACCAGUCGUGGCAGCCAGUGACCAGCUGCUUACUAAAGCCUUUUCACUCGUCCUGGGGCUUGCUGCCUUUGUGUUGACUGAGGCCAUCAGCAGUGCUCCCAGGUCAGCUGGGUGCCGGGCACUGGUCUGGGUUCUGGAGAGGGCGGGGAGGAGCAGGUGGCUUUUCCAGAGGAGCAGAGAGCAGUUGCACCUGUGGGCUCUGCCUAUACGUGCAGGUCAGACGGAUUCCGCUACCACUACUGGGAGGCAUUCCUAAGUCUGCGGGCAUUUUAUGUUUUCUAUGUGUAUGUAUUUUUUUCCUAUACUCGUCUAGUAAAGGGGCCAUAUUCCUCAUCAACUGAUGUGCACAGAGAUCUUCAACUCCAGGCUGGACUAACCUGGGAUGGCUUGUCCAUUAGGCUUUUGUGAGAGCGGCACAUUGGCUGGUGUCUGGGGAGAGUCCUGAAACCUCAAGGCCCCAGUGGCAGAUCCCAGACUAGCUAGAUCCCAGGGUUUCAUCCUAGCCUAUCUAGAAAUGUCGCAGAAGGACUCACUGCCUUUCUCUUUUUCCUUUUGGCACUGCCAGACAUGGCACGCCCACUAGGUGCAGAGCAAAGCGCUUCACUCAACACAAUGUAGGGAGAGGCCUGGCUGGUAGUGAUGCCAGUAAAGAGCAGUCAGGUAAUGCUUAUUCAAUACGUCCACCAGGGGGAGGUGAACAUUUCCAGGUGGGGCACUUAGGUGGGGGACCAUGUGAGCCAAGCCUGGGAGGAUGUUUGGUAGCUAGAGCCAUAUUUUGUGCAUUCAGGAAUUCAAAUCUGCCUUGAUUCCGGCCUGAGAGCCAGAGCAAGUGGGGCGGGAGGAGCAGGGCAAGGAGGAGAGGAAAGGGAGAGAAUCCCCACACGUUCUCGCGUUCCCGAGAGCCUCUUUGGGGACCCCUGCCCUCAGUGCAGAAGGUCAAAACCCCAACUGCCCCCCCUCAGCCUGGGCCUGUUGGCUUUAUACUGCUGUGCAGGGCGGGGGUGGGGUGGGGACACUUGGCCACGUGGUCGCUGAAAAACCUCAGUCGUGCGUGUCCCAGUUUUAACAGAACCACAUUUUGGGCUGUUGCCCAUUUCUGCCCCUAUCCCUGAAACUGCCACUUGAUGGGCCCCCUGCUGUGCUCCGGGUACCAAGCUACCCGGCACAGCGCCGCUGCGCGCCCGGCGGGAGGCACGGAGUCCUCGCCUUCGGGGCCCGCGACGCUAGGUGGCAGCAGUGCGGCUGCGGCGCCGCGGAGGCCGUGCGCCCCGCACCCCGAAGCCUUCCUGGCGGCGGCGGCGGCGGCGGGCGGCUCUCUUCCGCGGGACCCGCGGGGCGCAGCCCCCAGAUGGGUGCUGGGGACGUGGGGCGGCCGUUCGGACGGGAACGGGCUUUGACAUGGAGACCUUAGGAGCGCGUUCAGCCCUGGCGACGGAGCGCUUCUCCGUUCGAGGGCUUGCUCGUGGGGGACUGGGCUCUGGACGGGCCCCAGGGCCUGCCCGCGGCCGGUGGUCAGCCUGGAGCCCCACUGCCUCUCGUCCACGGAGCCGGGGAGGGUGACGUGGCUCCGAAGGGCCGAGGGGGUCCGGCAGGCUCGGAGUUCCGUCCGGCGCUGCCGCUGAGGGAGCCGGGCAGCCUUGGGUCCCUGUCCUUAUCGCUACAAUAGGGGGUGUAACUUAGUCCUCUGUGGGGACGCGGGAUGCAGGUGGGCCUCUUCCUAGGGGACCCUCCGGACCCGAGCGUCCCGCACGGCACCUGUGUGUGGCUGGAGCUGGGCCACCGCCUUUUCCCAGUAUCGGUGGGCGGGGGCGGUGGACUGGUCUCCCAGGCAUCUCCAGGACACGAAGGGGAAGAUCUUGAGGAGACCACUGUUAGGUAGACAGGAGGUGCUGAGGGUUGUGGCCCUGGGGAUGGCCCCGUUUGCUGCAUACACAGCAUAAGCAGAUCUUCUGGGAAGGGGGGUGUGGGGAGGCAAUAGAGGGAGGAAUGUGUGAAGUAGCAAAAAUGAACUUUUCGGUUAAUGGCAUUCAAAAAUGAUGGACCUCCAGGGCCUGCUGUAGAGUCCCAGACCAGGGCACGAACUCAGCCUUGACCUCCCUUACAGCUCCUGAGAUGUGACCUGGGUGCUAAGUACACCUGUGUCCCCCUCUGACAGUGACUGCUUGGCAGCGGGUCUUGGGCUCACAGAAUCUUUGAUCCUCCAAGCCCCUGAGGCAAGAGGCCACACAGGAGUCCAUGCUGGUACCCACAGCAUAUGCAGAACCCAGAUGAAUCCCAUGGGAGACAGAAGGGACAUUACAAUUUCCACCCUAAAGCAAAGUGGCUGUCAUAUGUGACUGUAGGAGGGGACAGAGCCUGACCACCCUCUGGGAUGGGGAGAGGGGACACACAAAAUCCAGGGAGGCCUAGGGAAUGUCUGAUACCCCCACCCCAAGUACAUUAAGCCAGAGUCUGGGUCAAAUGUCAGAUGUUUGGCCAUGUGACUGAGAAGGAGGUGGAGGAGGGAUACUAAAAGUCGUCAUUAGGCCAGCUGAGCUUAGUAGGUGGGUAGAAACUAAACCAGAGAGCUUGGGAGCCUGAAAUACUGGCUUGCGAGACCUCAAAAAACUGCAACCCAAGAAAAGUGAUUGGAUGUAUUUGGAAGAUUUCAAAGCACAAACUCAAAUCUGCAUGAGAUUACCAAAAGCACGGUUUUGCUCAGUGUUAUUUUUAGGAGAACAUAAUACACAAAGCUGUGUUCAUUUCCCUCAGAGAUUUUUCCUGAAUAGUAUUGGUAUUAAUAGCUUAGGAAUGAGAAGCCAUUUCUGGUUUUGUUUUUCACCCCACCAUCUUUGAAAUAUCCGGAGUCACAGGCAAGUUAGCAUGUCCCAGAUGAAAAGGCAGUCCCCAGUCCCGCACUCCCACAGAGGUGACCCGGGGAAUGGAAUGUGCCACCUCCCAGGGAAGUUGCAGCCUCACAGCCUCUGAGUGCAGUGGGAAGAGCCUGUCUGCCAGGAAACAGGUCACUCUGCGAUGUGGAUGUGCUGAGAGAGCCCUGUGCUGGAUGCAGAAGUUGUCAAAAACCUUGAAAGCAAAACAAAAGCAAGCUAAUCCUGAAAUAUAUUCCACUUGAAGUUUUUGGACAAUUUUUUUUAAAAGAAGAAAAAUGUUUAGGAUAAUUAUAAAUCACAGUAUUUAUAAACGAUUAAAAGUAUAUUUAGA
rnacentral:lncRNA from 1 species